AGAGUUUGAUCAUGGCUCAGGACGAACGCUGGCGGCGUGCUUAACGCAUGCAAGUGGUGCGACGAACCAGGGCUUGCCCUGGGGCCAAGCCGCGAACGGGUGAGUAACACGUGAGUAACCUGCCCCGAUGACUGGGACAACCCGAGGAAACUCGGGCUAAUACCGGAUGUUGUGCACUUCCUCAAGGUUGUGCACUAAAGGAAGCUUCGGCCUCCGCAUUGGGAGGGGCUCGCGGCCCAUUAGCUUGUUGGUGGGGUAACGGCCUACCAAGGCGACGAUGGGUAGCUGGUCUGAGAGGACGAUCAGCCACACUGGGACUGAGACACGGCCCANACUCCUACGGGAGGCAGCAGUGGGGAAUCUUGCGCAAUGCGCGAAAGCGUGACGCAGCAACGCCGCGCGAGGGAAGACGGCCUUCGGGUUGUAACCUCUUUCAGGAGGGACGAANGCUCACCGGUGAAUAGCCGUGUGGGNUUGACGGUACCUCCANAANAAGCUCCGGCUAACUACGUGCUANCCGCCNCGGUANUUC
rnacentral:rRNA from 1 species